AUUGAACGCUGGCGGCAGGCCUAACACAUGCAAGUCGAACGGUAACAGGAAGCAGCUUGCUGCUUCGCUGACGAGUGGCGGACGGGUGAGUAAUGUCUGGGAAACUGCCUGAUGGAGGGGGAUAACUACUGGAAACGGUAGCUAAUACCGCAUAACGUCGCAAGACCAAAGAGGGGGACCUUCGGGCCUCUUGCCAUCGGAUGUGCCCAGAUGGGAUUAGCUAGUAGGUGGGGUAACGGCUCACCUAGGCGACGAUCCCUAGCUGGUCUGAGAGGAUGACCAGCCACACUGGAACUGAGACACGGUCCAGACUCCUACGGGAGGCAGCAGUGGGGAAUAUUGCACAAUGGGCGCAAGCCUGAUGCAGCCAUGCCGCGUGUAUGAAGAAGGCCUUCGGGUUGUAAAGUACUUUCAGCGGGGAGGAAGGCGAUAAGGUUAAUAACCUUGUCGAUUGACGUUACCCGCAGAAGAAGCACCGGCUAACUCCGUGCCAGCAGCCGCGGUAAUACGGAGGGUGCAAGCGUUAAUCGGAAUUACUGGGCGUAAAGCGCACGCAGGCGGUCUGUCAAGUCGGAUGUGAAAUCCCCGGGCUCAACCUGGGAACUGCAUUCGAAACUGGCAGGCUAGAGUCUUGUAGAGGGGGGUAGAAUUCCAGGUGUAGCGGUGAAAUGCGUAGAUAUCGGGAGGAAUACCGGUGGCGAAGGCGACUUUCUGGACUAUAACUGACGCUGAGGCACGAAAGCGUGGGUAGCAAACAGG
rnacentral:rRNA from 1 species